AGACAAUUCUGCCAUGGUCUCCCUCAAGGAGCAGAGCUCAUCAAAGCCUUGUGUAGAGGUGAGCUGAACUCUCUCAGAUAGAUGCCUCCGAAGGUGGAUAAUUUCGUCGGUCCCAUCUGGAGCUUCCAUCGGUAGUCCUCUACUUGCCCGCUCCAGCCGACUCGAUAGGCGUCGUAGUUCACCUCAGCAUCCUGCAGCCACUUUUGAAGAUUGGAGAGCUUCUACGACCAGUCUCGAUCGUGGUC
rnacentral:lncRNA from 1 species